UUAAUACAAGAUCCGCUUGUUUAUCCGAAUCACUACAUUUGGUAUUUU
rnacentral:sRNA from 1 species